rnacentral:misc_RNA from 1 species
AAGGAUCAUUACCACACCUCAAAACGAAAGCCAAGCUCUGGUCGCAAGAUCCGGGCGAGGUGAGUCCCGUGGAUUUAUUCACACACUUUUCGAUCUACUUUGCAGUCAGUAUUCAUCUCUUUAUCGAGUGAAUGCGAGCUCAGAGUAGGUCCAAAAACAAACUAAUUUUCUUCCACUUUUUCGAAAGUGCGAUUAAAAUCCAAACAUCCUGUUUACGAACUCAUUCAAAAGUAAAGCGAGAGAAUCAGGAAGCUUCGGUGACUUGCAUGAUCUCCUCUACGAAAAUGAAGUAACGUUAACACUUUCAGCAACGGAUGUCUUGGCUCCC